UUGAACGCUGGCGGCAGGCCUAACACAUGCAAGUCGAGCGGUAACACAGAGAGCUUGCUCUCGGGUGACGAGCGGCGGACGGGUGAGUAAUGUCUGGGAAACUGCCUGAUGGAGGGGGAUAACUACUGGAAACGGUAGCUAAUACCGCAUAACGUCGCAAGACCAAAGUGGGGGACCUUCGGGCCUCAUGCCAUCAGAUGUGCCCAGAUGGGAUUAGCUAGUAGGUGGGGUAACGGCUCACCUAGGCGACGAUCCCUAGCUGGUCUGAGAGGAUGACCAGCCACACUGGAACUGAGACACGGUCCAGACUCCUACGGGAGGCAGCAGUGGGGAAUAUUGCACAAUGGGCGCAAGCCUGAUGCAGCCAUGCCGCGUGUGUGAAGAAGGCCUUCGGGUUGUAAAGCACUUUCAGCGGGGAGGAAGGCGGUGAGGUUAAUAACCUCACCGAUUGACGUUACCCGCAGAAGAAGCACCGGCUAACUCCGUGCCAGCAGCCGCGGUAAUACGGAGGGUGCAAGCGUUAAUCGGAAUUACUGGGCGUAAAGCGCACGCAGGCGGUCUGUCAAGUCGGAUGUGAAAUCCCCGGGCUCAACCUGGGAACUGCAUUCGAAACUGGCAGGCUAGAGUCUUGUAGAGGGGGGUAGAAUUCCAGGUGUAGCGGUGAAAUGCGUAGAGAUCUGGAGGAAUACCGGUGGCGAAGGCGGCCCCCUGGACAAAGACUGACGCUCAGGUGCGAAAGCGUGGGGAGCAAACAGGAUUAGAUACCCUGGUAGUCCACGCCGUAAAAGAUGUCGAUUUGGAGGUUGUGCCCUUGAGGCGUGGCUUCCGGAGCUAACGCGUUAAAUCGACCGCCUGGGGAGUACGGCCGCAAGGUUAAAACUCAAAUGAAUUGACGGGGGCCCGCACAAGCGGUGGAGCAUGUGGUUUAAUUCGAUGCAACGCGAAGAACCUUACCUGGUCUUGACAUCCACAGAACUUUCCAGAGAUGGAUUGGUGCCUUCGGGAACUGUGAGACAGGUGCUGCAUGGCUGUCGUCAGCUCGUGUUGUGAAAUGUUGGGUUAAGUCCCGCAACGAGCGCAACCCUUAUCCUUUGUUGCCAGCGGUUAGGCCGGGAACUCAAAGGAGACUGCCAGUGAUAAACUGGAGGAAGGUGGGGAUGACGUCAAGUCAUCAUGGCCCUUACGACCAGGGCUACACACGUGCUACAAUGGCAUAUACAAAGAGAAGCGACCUCGCGAGAGCAAGCGGACCUCAUAAAGUAUGUCGUAGUCCGGAUUGGAGUCUGCAACUCGACUCCAUGAAGUCGGAAUCGCUAGUAAUCGUAGAUCAGAAUGCUACGGUGAAUACGUUCCCGGGCCUUGUACACACCGCCCGUCACACCAUGGGAGUGGGUUGCAAAAGAAGUAGGUAGCUUAACCUUCGGGAGGGCGCUUACCACUUUGUGAUUCAUGACUGGGGUG
rnacentral:rRNA from 1 species